rnacentral:rRNA from 1 species
GGGGGGGUUUGAUCAUGGCUCGGGACGAACGCUGGCGGCGUGCUUAACACAUGCAAGUCGAACGGAAAGGCCCUGCUUUUGUGGGGUGCUCGAGUGGCGAACGGGUGAGUAACACGUGAGUAACCUGCCCUUGACUUUGGGAUAACUUCAGGAAACUGGGGCUAAUACCGGAUAGGAGCUCCUGCUGCAUGGUGGGGGUUGGAAAGUUUCGGCGGUUGGGGAUGGACUCGCGGCUUAUCAGCUUGUUGGUGGGGUAGUGGCUUACCAANGCUUUGACGGGUAGCCGGCCUGANAGGGUGACCGGCCACAUUGGGACUGANAUACGGCCCAGACUCCUACGGGAGGCAUCAGUUUGUUAAUAUUGUCACAAUGGG